rnacentral:rRNA from 1 species
CCUACGGGAGGCAGCAGUAGGGAAUAUUGCUCAAUGGGGGAAACCCUGAAGCAGCAACGCCGCGUGGAGGAUGACGGUUUUCGGAUUGUAAACUCCUUUUGUUAGAGAAGAUAAUGACGGUAUCUAACGAAUAAGCACCGGCUAACGCCGUGCCAGCAGCCGCGGUAAUACGGAGGGUGCACGCGGUACUCGGAAUCACUGGGCGUAAAGAGCGCGUCGGCGGGAUAGCAAGUCAGAUGUGAAAUCCUAUGGCUUAACCAUAGAACUGCAUUUGAAACUGUUAUUCUAGAGUAUGGGAGAGGUAGGUGGAAUGCUUGGUGUAGGGGUAAAAUGCGUAGAGAUCAAGAGGAAUACUCAUUGCGAAGGCGACCUGCUAGAACAUAACUGACGCUGAUGCGCGAAAGCGUGGGGAGCAAACAGGAUUAGAUACCCUUGUAGUC